rnacentral:misc_RNA from 1 species
GUGGGAGGGGGCUUGCUCCCGAUUGCGGCGGGUCAGUUGCCGAUGAGUUGGCUGAUCCACUGCUAUCGGGAGCAAGCCCCCUCCCAC